rnacentral:rRNA from 1 species
AAUGAACGUUGGCGGCGUGGAUUAGGCAUGCAAGUCGCGCGGAAAGGCCCCGCAAGGGGUACUCGAGCGGCGAAAGGGAUAGUAACACGUGGAUUACCUACCUCCCGGACGGGGAUAGCUGCGGGAAACUGCAAUUAAUACCCGAUGACGUCUUCGGACCAAAGGUGUGAUUCCGCCGGGAGACGGGUCCGCGUCCUAUUAGCUAGUUGGCAGGGUAACGGCCUACCAAGGCUUAGAUGGGUAGCGGGUGUGAGAGCACGACCCGCAUCACUGGGACUGAGACACUGCCCAGACACCUACGGGAGGCAG